rnacentral:rRNA from 1 species
UACGGAAGAUGCGAGCGUUAUCCGGAUUUACUGGGUGUAAAGGGCGCGUAGGCGGGGAUGCAAGUCAGAUGUGAAAUCUAUGGGCUUGACCCAUAAACUGCAUUUGAAACUGUAUCUCUUGAGUGCUGGAGAGGUAGACGGAAUUCCUUGUGUAGCGGUGAAAUGCGUAGAUAUAAGGAAGGACACCAGUGGCGAAGGCGGUCUACUGGACAGUAACUGACGCUGAGGCGCGAGAGCGUGGGGAGCAAAC